rnacentral:misc_RNA from 1 species
GAGAGACUAGGGAUACGGUAAAAAAGUAAGGAUCGAAAAUAACCCUAAAUUUUCCUCUUGGCCCCACUAUUUCAAUCUCUGAUCCCUCCAAUUUCGAAAGGAAGGGAGACGAAAAUGCACCAUCUGAGACAAAGUUACCCAAUUUCCCUUGAGAAUAAAAUUCAAUCAACGUAAAAGAUAGCAAAAAGACGAAGGAUGGAACAGUAAAUCGAUGAUGCACAUUUUUCUUUCCUCACAUUUUCUCCACUUUGCCAAACAAAGGAAAAAAGUUUCCCCAAAAUUUACUUUCAUUUGUAUUUUUUGCCCCCAUGCAAACAGAGGGGAAGAAAAUAAUUUACCCUUUUCUCACUUUCUU